CCUGCAAGUACGUUUGGUUUUUAUCCCAUACACCGAGCCAUACACACAUUUGUAGCUCUUCGCGAUAUAUCGCGCGAGCCAUACACACAUUUGUAGCUCUUCGGCUAAAUCUUGUCCGCCAUAUUUGUUAUUGUUAUUGCAACGUAAGCAGUUUAGCGGGUGAAUUCGGGCGAAAAGCAGGUGAGCUCGGCAAAAAGCAGGUGAGCUCGACGACAAGCUCACCUGCUCUAAACCAAUCAGAAAGCCGCUUUUAACACAGGUAUGGGAUAAGGGAGAGAACUUGCUGGCUUGGGAGAGAACUUGCUGGCUUGGGAGAGAACUUGCUGGCUUGGGAGAGAACUUGGCUUGGGAGAGAACUUGGCUUGGGAGAGAACUUGGCUUGGGAGAGAACUUGGCUUGGGAGGGAACUUGGCUUGGGAGAGAACUUGCUGGCUUGGGAGAGAUCUUGGCUUGGGAGAGAACUUGGCUUGGGAGAGAACUUGGCUUGGGAGAGAACUUGUUUUGGGAGAGAACUUGUUUUGGGAGAGAACUUGGCUUGGGAGAGAACUUGGCUUGGGAGAGAGCUUGGCUUGGGAGAGAACUUGGCUUGGGAGAGAACUUGGCUUGGGAGUGAACUUGGCUUGUGCGAGCCAGCUCAGCUAGUCUCCUUUGCAGCCUGUUUGCAGGUGCAUUCCAGCCUGGCUUAUUCAAACAGCC